CAAACUACGGGGAGGUAAUCACGAACUUGAUUAAUCAAGUUCAUGAUUAUGACGUCAUGAAAAUGGGGCGUGGCAUGACCAUAUAAGGAGUUGUAAUCAAGAUUUUGAUUACUUUUCGUGCACCGAACUAUUCAAGUGUUUCGUUUCGAUUGUUAUAAUGUCCAUAUCGACACGAUUUUUUACCAGGUGAAACGCAAUAUUCUAUUCUCCCGAAAUGAUAUGGACCGGUAGCAGUGGGAUAUGUACUUUAGCUCAUAUGGCGAAAGAUAAACUGCUAGCCUAACUUUUUCAGAAAAGUGAUAUUUUUUAAAGCCCUUUUUAGGCGGAUAUUAUUCUUUUAUCCACAUUUUUACGUUUCUAAUUUAAAAAUAAAUCAUUGAACAUUCAUUUUACACACGUCUUAAAUUGGUCGUAAUAAAGAUUUCUUCGAAAAGGCACCGUCGCCUAUUAGCACGCCGCCAUUUGUCGUGUUGUCGGUGUGUGGGUGAGGCCGGAAAUUGGCGCCGAAUUAUUGGUAAUUUGGUUCUUAUAGCUCAUCAAAGCACCACCUCCUCGCUGUAGCAGUGGGCGUCGCCGUCACCACAGUAUUGUUCAGGAAGCUCGUGAUAAUGGUACCUAUGGUCUCACGUUGAGGAACGCUCAAUCAAAAAAUGAUAUGAUGAAUUUCUUUGGAAUUAAGCGGACUAAGUACAGCUACAUUUGUAUUAUGUGCAUCGCUCAUGCAAGACAGCAGGCCAGGAUGCAGGGACACACAGCUGCAGGGGAUGAGCUGGAGAACCUGCAUCGCAUUCUCCAAGAGACGACGGAAGCCAACGGAGGCCCGCAAAACUUUCCAUCCCAUAAUCGUGAAUGGAGAGCUGGGCGGGGAAGACGCGGUAUUCGUCGAGGCCCAGGAGGUGGUAUCGGCGCCACCAGACCAAGCAUUCCUGCUGUGGCAGGCCACCUUUUGGAUUUUUAACAUCAAAACUCCUAAAGACAUGGUCAAUCUGAAUUGGUUUCUGAGAACCAAAGUGUUUGGUGGGGUGAAGGCCGAUGUGCCGCCAUCAGCGGCGGCCAUUGCGACCGUGAAGCAAGUGGAGUGAGAUCCCCGUAGAGCAUGCCGCUGCGGGGUGUCGGAAGCGUUUGCCAAUUCUUUGAGCCUUCC
rnacentral:lncRNA from 1 species